UACGGAGGGUGCAAGCGUUGUCCGGAUUUAUUGGGUUUAAAGGGUGCGCAGGUGGGUAUUUAAGUCUGGUUUGAAAGCAGGUGGCUCAACCAUCUGAUGUGGCUGGAAACUGGAUAUCUUGAAUGGGUUGGCGGUAGCCGGAAUGGGUCAUGUAGCGGUGAAAUGCAUAGAUAUGACCCGGAACACCGAUUGCGAAGGCAGGCUACUACGAUUUGAUUGACACUGAGGCACGAGAGCAUGGGUAGCGAACAGG
rnacentral:rRNA from 1 species